CCAAUAGCGUAUAUUAAAGUUGUUGCAGUUAAAAAGCUCGUAGUUGAAUUUCGGGAUCAAUAUUUCGGUCAUGCCGUUGGUAUGCACUGUUAUAAUUGAUUUCUCACCUUCUAAAGAACCGUAAUGCCAUUAAUUUGGUGUCACGGGGAAUUAGGACUGUUACCUUGAAAAAAUUAGAGUGUUUAAAGCAGGCUCACGCUUGAAUACAUUAGCAUGGAAUAAUGAAAUAGGACAUCCGAUUCUAUUUUGUUGGUUUCUAGGAUCGAUGUAAUGAUUAAUAGGGAUAGUUGGGGGCAUUAGUAUUCAAUUGUCAGAGGUGAAAUUCUUGGAUUUAUUGAAGACUAACUACUGCGAAAGCAUUUGCCAAGGAUGUUUUCAUUAAUCAAGAACGAAAGUUAGGGGAUCGAAGACGAUCAGAUACCGUCGUAGUCUUAACCAUAAACUAUGCCGACUAGGGAUCGGAUGAUGUUAAUUUUUUAAUGACUCAUUCGGCGCCUUACG
rnacentral:rRNA from 1 species